UUGCAGUUACAUGUAUUGUAUUAAUAUACUUCAUAUUUAUUAACUUAACAUUUAUGUACCUUAUUAGACAUUAUAUAGUGAAACAUUUCUUUUGUAUGGUAGAUCAUGCUGCAGUGAGAAACCAAGAAAUUCCUAUUGUUGUGUGCAUACUUAAGUGUCAUGGAAAAAGGAUAUGGAAAAUACAGGGAUGAGGAUGUGGUACAUUGAAGUUGCAGGAAAGCAAGCUGGAAGCUAUAUACCCAGAAUUCGAAGAGAAUAGGGGCUGUACAUCUGUGAAGGGUAUUGUUAUGAGAUGUAGGGAGUUGCUCAACAGAUUGAAUUGUUAAUGAUGUUAAUUGAAAUGUAUGCAGUCCAACUGUAAUGGUAAUGAGAUGCGGGUCUUUGUCCUACAUGAUGAGUAAAACAGUGUAUGGCAGUUUUGGAAAACAUGUAAUAAGUA